rnacentral:rRNA from 1 species
GGAAGUAAAAGUCGUAACAAGGUUUCCGUAGGUGAACCUGCGGAAGGAUCAUUAUAAAAUUUUCGUAUAUUUAUUUUUUAAAUAUAUAAAAUUACACAAAAAUGUAUUCAAAACCCACACUCUUGUAACCAUUUAUAAAAAAACAUUAUAUCUCGCAUAUAAUAUUAAUUAAAAACAACUUUCAACAACGGAUCUCUUGGCUCUCGCAUCGAUGAAGAACGCAGCGAAUUGCGAUAAGUAAUGUGAAUUGCAGAAUUACGUGAAUCAUCGAAUCUUUGAACGCAUAUUGCACUCUCUGGUAAUCCGGAGAGUAUGCCUGUUUGAGGGUCAGUAUAAUAUAAUAAUUAUCACGAUCUCACCGAUUGUGGAAUUGGGCUCUUAUUUCGAACAGAUUUAUGGCCUUAAAUUUACGCCAUGCGAUUAAUUCGAACCAAGCGGAGCAAUUAAACAUUCUCUCGUGGACGGAUUAUACUCGCAAGCCAUUACGGUUUUUUGGACGACAAAGCGCUCUCGCGAGCGCGAAGCCCAAAGGACGUAAAUUCAUUGACAAAUGACCUCAAAUCAGGCAAGAAUACCCGCCGAACUUAAGCAUAUCAAUAAGCGGAGGA